rnacentral:rRNA from 1 species
UACGUAGGAGGCAAGCGUUGUCCGGAAUUACUGGGCGUAAAGCGCGUGUAGGUGGUGGGACAAGUCUGCUGUGAAAGCGCCUGGCUCAACCUGGGAAUGGCGAUGGAUACUGGCUCGCUAGAGUGCGGUAGAGGAGAGUGGAAUUCCCGGUGUAGCAGUGAAAUGCGUAGAGAUCGGGAGGAACAUCAGUUGCGAAGGCGGCUCUCUGGACCAGCACUGACACUGAGGCACGGAAAGCGUGGGGAGCAAACAGG